rnacentral:rRNA from 1 species
UACGAGGGGUCCUAGCGUUGUUCGGAAUCAUUGGGCGUAAAGGGUGUGUAGGUGGCUAUGUGAGUCAGGUGUGAAAGCCCCGGGCUCAACCCGGGAAGUGCAUCUGAUACUGCGUAGCUUGAGUACCGAAGAGGAUAGUGGAAUUCCAGGUGUAGUGGUGAAAUACGUAGAUAUCUGGAGGAACACCGGUGGCGAAGGCGGCUAUCUGGUCGAGUACUGACACUGAGACACGAAAGCAUGGGGAUCAAACAGG